CAAGGUGGGGGCCGCCUGCUCAGCCCAGGCUCCCUGAACGUGUGGCUAGCUGAGUUUGCGGAAGAAACCAGGAGAGUGCCAACACCAGGCUUGCAAGCAAGAGGCUCCCUGACUGCCUGAUCCUGGAGCGCACCCCAUCCUCCCUGUGUUCCCUGGGCCUCAGCUGUUCCCCAGUGACCUUGGAGACACCCUGCCCCACCCUGGCUCCACAGGAGCCCUGCCCAUCACCGCCUCAGCUCUGAGUCUCCCCUGGGGACACAACCUUCCUCCUGGUGCAGAGGCGCAGGAUGCUGCCCCUAAGGCCCAUCUUCCUCUGCAGCAUGUUUUGAUGUCAGCUCAUUCACAGGAAAGAAACAAUCACAUCUCAGUGCCCAGAAUGGGGACCAAUAGGAGAGGUCACUGGGAAUAAAGCCCACACGCACCCCAGGGUCCAUGGGCUCCCCAGAAAUGCAGGUGGCCUCCGCCAGAGCCAACAAGCCUAAGUUGCUGAUCAGCCCCUCCCUGCUUCCCUGUGUGGAAGAGGAAACAGAGGCCCAGACUAGUAGGGCUCUGCCGUGGUGGCCGGCUGCGUCCCCAGACCUCUGGUCCCAGGGCUGGCUGGGAGUGCCCCUCCCUGUGCUCACUUCCUGCUCUCCUGGGAAAUGGCUCAGGGAUGGGGCGUGUGGGGACAGAUGCUGGCAUAGCUCACAAAAUGCUUGCACAAGGGACACUCCAUGGCAGGUCCCUGCAGGAGAGCAAAGUCACAACAUUCAGAGAUUCCCUGCACUCUGAGGCCCGCAGAGCCUGGCCGACCAAGCGAGGCUGGGAGGAUGUUGCCUGCUGGUCAGGGCAGCCCUCUGAUCAGGGCGGCCGAGUGAGGCUGGGAGGAUGGUGCCCGCUGGUCAGGGCAGCUGAGCGUGGCUGGGAGGAUGGUGCCUGCUGGUCAGGGCAGCCCUCUGGUCAGGGUGGCCAAGCGAGGCAGGGAGGGAGGUACCCACCGGUCAGGGCAGCCGAACAAAGCUGGAAAGAUGGUGCCUGCUGGUCAGGGCGGCUGAAUGAGGCUGGGAGGAUGGUGUCUGCUGGUCAGGGCAGCUCAGGAGGUGCUGCCCAGGAGGUGCUGUCCAGGCAGAGCCUAGGGCUGGUGUGGGUGUGCCAUGCUCCUGAGAAGUUUCUGGGUUGUGGCUUUAAUGUUCUCCUGCAGUGAGAACGCUGACACUUGGCCAAAGGGUCCUCACCUCUCCCCUAGUACACUUCUGAGAUGCCAGGAAGGUUCUGAACAUCAGAUUGAUUCCUGGGACUCCCCUCCAGGGUGGCCUUACUGGAGUCAGGAGCCCCUGCCCCACUAGGAUGGCUCUGCAGUGGCCUGAGGACAGUGAGCACUGACUGGUCACUGGUGCAAAGUUGCCCACUGUGAUGGUUUUGACCGUUGAUGGGAACCAAGUGAAAGCCCUGCAGCUAUUUCUAGGCAUUUCAGAGGGUGCUUCCCUGCAUGUACUCUGCUGCAGACCAUCCUCCCUGGGCCAGGAGCCCGCUACACAGUAGGAGAUUCUUUUUCUUCUCUUUUGAGCACUUUUAUUCUCUUUUUCUUAAUCUCUGCUCCUCCUUUGAACUGAGAAAUGUGCAAAUCUUUUUUGUUAGUUUUGAGGUUGCUUCUUAUGCAUAUUUCAUCUGGAACUUUCCCCUUUGGGGGUGAUCUGUUCUAUCAGCCUGCCCGCUGCUAGAGAGGCCGAGGUGGUCCGGCCAGCCGUGCGCUGCUGCUGGUGUCUCUGUGGGCAUGACCUGGUGAGAUAUCAUUCUGCAUCUGGGGGUCCAUCCUAUCAGCCCUGUGUUCUAGAUUCCCCAGUGACUGACAUUUAGCCAGUCUCCUCUGUCACUCUCCAGUGACAUGUACACACUGUUGGCACGAACUGCAGAUGUCACGUUCUGUGGCUGAGAGCCUCAGUGUGCAUCUGUAGUAGGAGGAUGUCAGUGAGGACUGUCCUGUCGCUGCUGAGCUGGCACCGACUGUGCCUGGUCUACACUCCAGGUCUGCCAAACGACCCAGCAAGGUCCUUCACAACUCUUCUGAUCCAGGAUCACACAUCACUUGUGCUUUGAUGCCUGCUUCUGAACAAUUUUACCUCCUGAGAUGUCCAUUUUUGGGAGUGUGAGCCCUCCUCUCCUGGUGACAGCUGGCUGAGGCCGUCCAGCCUCAGGACACACAGGGAACGGCUGCAUAAGGAGAUCUGGGGCAGGGGGCCCACCAGGAUGUUCUGCCCUGUGGGGGGCAACACCGGCUGUGGUCUGCCGGCGGCAUCCAGGGACAGUCUGUCUAGGUGAGGCUGAGGCCGCCCCCACUCGCUCCCUCACCCCCAUGCUGACAGCAGUGAGCUGACCACAGACUGGGGGAGCCCCACAGGGAGACUGGCCUCCCCAGCACAUGCCCCGCAGUGCCAGACGCGGUCAUCACAGAGGCAGGUACACGACACCACGGACGUGCCACGUACCCGCCAUCGGGACCAAGGACCACUGAGAAACCAUGAAGGCCAUGCAGCGACUGUGGUGGCAGGACCGUCAGGAGGCCAUAGGUGCCACGGCUCCCCUCUGGUGGUUCACCUGCCCACCUGUAGCUGGGGUGGCCCCUCCAGUGCGCUCCCCAGAGCAGAACACCCCCCAGGCAACACGUCUGAUGAAGGCCAACAGCGUCAGUCCUCUGGUGUUUGGUGACAUCAAAGCUGUGCCGAAAGGCCUUCCCUCACUGCUAACACUUGAAGGGCUUCUGUCCGGUGUGGACCCUCUGAUGGCGAAUGUGGUCUGUCUUAUGCUUAAAGAUCCACCUCCAUUAACUGCACUCUUAGGGUUUCUUCCUCUGAAAAGGAAUGAACACGGGAACCCCCUCAAAGGCAUUUUUAAAUGAAGCGUGGAAGGCAUCAAAGAUGUGCUCUUCUUCAGGACUCAGGCUUCUCCAUCAUUCUCUGUUCCUUGGAAGCGUGAGGGCUAAGGAGCUGCUGACUUCUCUCUCUUGGCCCCACUUCAAGAAAGGCUUGCUUCCCACACACCUCUCCACGCUCCCAGUGCGGGACUGACACUCUGCACCGGGAGGCCAAGGGCCACCAUCGUCUUGCUGGGAGAAGGUGUGACGUUUCUUGGUCAUAGGAGGGAGUGUGAUCUGACACCAGAGGACUUAAUAUAACAUUGCAGUGUUAACAUCUUCACUGGCAGAUUCAUGGACUUUCCCCCUCCUGAAUGCAUUUCAACACCUUGAAAUGAACGAUGCCUCAUGUCUCUGCAGGGUGGACAUAGCUCUAACUCUCUGAAGCUGAGUUGGACAGGUGAAACAUCCACAGUCUUUCUUGACCUGAAUCAAGCUCAGAGUGACAGUGUUUAAGAUUAUAUGUCAAGUUCUGUGUGAAAUGAGAGACCAUGGGGAUUCAUUAUUGCUGGAGUUGACGGUAUUGCAGUUUUAUAACCAUCUAAUAAAUUAGCAUUUAAUACUGAGAGAUUUCAUCUUAAACUCAGAGGAUUGCUUUGUUUUAAAGAAGAUUUUUGCAAGGAGAAGCAAUGGAAACCAUUCAGAAAAUGUGGGAGAUAAAAAUCCUAUUCAAGAAAACGGAUCUUGGAUCUUUGCAUUCACUUGAUUUGUCAGAAUAUUAUUCUGUGCUAAAAAAUAGAAGGGAUUAAAUGUU
rnacentral:lncRNA from 1 species